GACGUAGGGGGCGAGCGUUGUCCGGAAUCACUGGGCGUAAAGCGCGCGUAGGCGGCGCGGCGCAUCCACCGUGAAAGCCCGCGGCUCAACCGCGGGAGGUCGGUGGCGAUGGUCGCGCUCGAGGGCAGCAGAGGCAGACGGAAUUCCCGGAGGAGCGGUGACAUGCGUAGAGAGCGGGAGGAACACCCGUGGCGAAGGCGGUCUGCUGGGCUGGCCCUGACGCUGAGGCGCGAAAGCUAGGGGAGCGAACGGA
rnacentral:rRNA from 1 species